rnacentral:lncRNA from 1 species
AUUUUCUGUAAAUCAGUCAGAUUUCUAUCAAGGAUCUAUGUACAUAAAGAAUCAACAUGAUAGCAAACAUCUGUGUAAUGAUUUACCAAUUAGCAGUGGAAAGAAAACAAAGCAAGAGGACCAGACAGAAGUGCCAAACAGACAGAUUUCAUGGGAUUGAAGCCUCUUUCCAUUUGGAAUUAUAUCUGCGAUUGAAUCCAACACCAUGUAUUAUGUCCUCCUGUUGCUCCAUGCAGCUUUCCCUGUCUACCUGUGACAUA